rnacentral:lncRNA from 1 species
AAAUAUCCCUAUAAUUAUGCUAAUAAUUAUCCCUAUAAUUAUGCUAAUGAUUAUUACAUAAUUGACUUAUUAUAACACUCAAGUUGGAGCAUAUUUGUUUACCUUGCCCAACUCAUUACAAAUGUAGUUAACCCUAACUUCAUUUAGAGCUUUUGUAAAAAUAUUGCCUAGUUAUUCUCCAGUCUUGACAUUUCCAUUUCAGAUGACCUGCUGUUGAAUUUCACGAAUGAAGAAUGUUGAUAUGCUUGGUUCGUUCAUGAAAUACUAGAUUAGAGGCAAUGUAGUGGGCUGCUUGGUUAUCACACCCCAACUUAGCAGAACUUAGCAGGUGAUGAGACCUUAAGAUCGACUUCAUCCAACAAUUGAUGUAUCCAUACUACUUUGCACACAGAUUGAGCCAUAGCUCAGUAUUUUGAUUUAACACUUAAACAAGAAACCAGAUUUUGCUUCUUACUCUUCUGUGAUACUGAGUGUCCUCUAACGAAAACACAAUAUUCUGUAGUAGAUCUCCUAUCAAUCUUCGAUCCUGCUUAAUCAGUAUCAGAAAAACACUCAAUAUCUAAGUGGCCAAAUUGCUAUAGGAGACUGUGUCCUGGUGCACCCUUUAAAUAACACAAAAUCUAUAAGCAUCGGUGGGGGAGUACACAAACUGACUUACAAUACUAAUAGCUUUUGCAAUAUCUGAAUGGGUUAUUGUAAGAUGGUUUAACUCGCCAAGCAACUUAUACAUUUCAAGAUCAUCAAAUAGUUCAAUAUCUCCCGUUGCAAGUUGAAGACUACGAGCCACUGGUGCAUUGCAUGGUUUGGCACCCAAUUUCUCUGUUUCAGCCAACAGAUAAGAAUGUACUUCCUCUGAGAUGGGAUAAGUAUGCAUACAUUUACCUUUGCGAACAAUCAUGGGUAGGUCUUCGCAAUAAUGGGUAGGUCUAAAUCAAAGGUAGGAGCGGGAAUGAUGAUUGGAUUUUCCGACGAAGAAGCUGUUGUUGCAUGGCCUAAGUCAAGAGUCUCCACCCUCUUAGAAUAAAUAUGUUGUGGAGGACGAAUAGUUAUUGGAAUAGAUGAACCUGUAGGAUGGUGAGGCACAAACAUGUGAUUGAUAGAAUAUGCUAAUAAAUCAUUCUCCUUUCUGUGACUUUCAUAAGUGGGAGACUGGGAGAAAAAAGGACUAGAUUCAAAGAAUGUUAUAUCAGCAGACACAAUAUAAGGAUUAAAGUCAAGAGAGAAACAUCGGUACCUUUUUUUUGAAGUCUGGAAUAACCAAAGAAGAUACAUUUAAGGGAUUUGGGAUCCAAUUUAGUGAGUUGUGGACUAACAUCUCGCACAAAACAAGUACAACUAAAUAUUCCUUUGAAAAUGAUACAAUAUUUAUAUACAAAAAUCUUAUAAUCAUGUAUUCUAAGUUUAGAAAGUAUCUCUAUAAUUAUUCUAAUUGUUAUCCUAUAAUUUUGCUAAUUAUUAUUGCAUAAUUGACUUGCUAUAACACAAAUAUUUCAAAAAUUUCAUUAUACUUUUCGGUGGAUGGC